rnacentral:rRNA from 1 species
CAGUAGCCGCGGUAAAACGUAGGUGGCAAGCGUCGUCCGGAAUUAUUGGGCGUAAAGGGCUCGCAGGCGGUUUCUUAAGUCUGGUGUGAAAGCCCCCGGCUCAACCGGGGAGGGUCAUUGGAAACUGGGAAACUUGAGUGCAGAAGAGGAGAGUGGAAUUCCACGUGUAGCGGUGAAAUGCGUAGAGAUGUGGAGGAACACCAGUGGCGAAGGCGACUCUCUGGUCUGUAACUGACGCUGAGGAGCGAAAGCGUGGGGAGCAAACAGGAUUAGAUACCCGCGUAGUCCCUGUCUCUUAUAC